GAUGAACGCUGGCGGCGUGCCUAAUACAUGCAAGUCGAGCGAACAGACGAGGAGCUUGCUCCUCUGACGUUAGCGGCGGACGGGUGAGUAACACGUGGAUAACCUACCUAUAAGACUGGGAUAACUUCGGGAAACCGGAGCUAAUACCGGAUAAUAUAUUGAACCGCAUGGUUCAAUAGUGAAAGACGGUUUUGCUGUCACUUAUAGAUGGAUCCGCGCCGCAUUAGCUAGUUGGUAAGGUAACGGCUUACCAAGGCAACGAUGCGUAGCCGACCUGAGAGGGGGAUCGGCCACACUGGAACUGAGACACGGUCCAGACUCCUACGGGAGGCAGCAGUAGGGAAUCUUCCGCAAUGGGCGAAAGCUUGACGGAGCAACGCCGCGUGGGUGAUGAAGGUCUUCGGAUCGUAAAACUCUGUUAUUAGGGAAGAACAAAUGUGUAAGUAACUAUGCACGUCUUGACGGUACCUAAUCAGAAAGCCACGGCUAACUACGUG
rnacentral:rRNA from 1 species